AUACUGUAAACCUCUGACAAUAAGCCCCCCUGAAUACCCCCAUCUACAAACCCAUCACAUUACUAACAUACACACCAUUGCAAAUAUAUGCCCCCCCCCAUAUUUGUUUAUCACUAUUACUAUACUUGUUUAUCACUAUUAUACACUAACACAAAAAUCACUAUGACACUAACACAAAAUGUUGUCCAUGUAUAAGCCCCCCCCUUUAUAUAAGCUCCCCUGUGUACAAGCCCAUCAAAAAACAUGUA